rnacentral:rRNA from 1 species
AGAGUUUGAUCAUGGCUCAGGAUGAACGCUAGCGGCAGGCUUAAUACAUGCAAGUCGAGGGGCAGCAGGGGUGUAGCAAUACACUCGCUGGCGACCGGCAAACGGGUGCGGAACACGUACGCAAUCUACCCAAAACUGAUGAAUAGCCCUCCGAAAGGAGGAUUAAUACAUCGUAACAUCUUAGAGUGGCAUCACUUUAUGAUUAUAGCUCCGGCGGUUUUGGAUGAGCGUGCGCCUGAUUAGGUAGUUGGUGUGGGUAACGGCCCACCAAGCCUUCGAUCAGUAACUGGUGUGAGAGCACGACCAGUCACACGGGCACUGAGACACGGGCCCGACUCCUACGGGAGGCAGCAGUAAGGAAUAUUGGUCAAUGGACGCAAGUCUGAACCAGCCAUGCCGCGUGAAGGAUGAAGGUCCUCUGGAUUGUAAACUUCUUUUACAGGGGAAGAAAUCGGAAAAUUCUUUUUCCGUUGACGGUACCCUGGGAAUAAGCACCGGCUAACUCCGUGCCAGCAGCCGCGGUAAUACGGAGGGUGCAAGCGUUAUCCGGAUUCACUGGGUUUAAAGGGUGCGUAGGUGGGUCUGUAAGUCAGUGGUGAAAUCUCCAAGCUUAACUUGGAAACUGCCGUUGAUACUAUAGAUCUUGAAUGCUGUGGAGGUGAGCGGAAUAUGUCAUGUAGCGGUGAAAUGCUUAGAUAUGACAUGGAACACCAAUUGCGAAGGCAGCUCACUACCCAGAUAUUGACACUGAGGCACGAAAGCGUGGGGAUCAAACAGGAUUAGAUACCCUAGUAGUCC